UCAGGUUCCUUCUCUUAUCAGAUCUUAACACUGGUCCUGGCAGUCAUAAAGCCAAAAGAAUAUAUUGAGGCUGGUUCACAGCAUUGUCCAAUAUAGAGCAUGUGUACUUGAUUCAAGCAAGA
rnacentral:snoRNA from 1 species